GGAUAUUGUGGCUGGAGACAUGAGCAAGAAAAGCCUCUGGGAGCAGAAGGGAGGCUCCAAGACCUCAUCAACAAUUAAGAGCCAGCUCAAUCACUUCUCCAGAAAGACUUACUGAGUCCUCUGCACUGAACAGGUGUCCUGUGCUCCAGGAGAGCCCUGGGCUGGCUCCUAGUGUAGCCAUUAUGACCCUGGAAUGCACCAUCUUUCACAUCACUGCCUGGCCUUCUAGAAUCUCAGCUUCUUAAAUCAAGAAAUUGUGUCUUGUUCAUGUCUGAAUUCCCCAAGUGAACACAGUGAGUGGGUGCUUGACAAAUCUUUGUUGGUAAUGAGCAAAAAAGGGGAUUCUGUGCCCAAUACCAUGAAAUCAAUGCACAGAAGAUUCAAUCAAUCAAGAAAGGUGCACAGACGCUGGCCACACACACUGACAUUUGUUUUCAGAUGUUCCAGUCCCCCUGACUUCCACCAACCCAUUCAUUCAUUCCACAAGCAUUUUUGCUGGGGUGGAAGCAGGGCCAUACAGGGUGUGUAAGUAACAGAUAGGGUGGGUUUGUAUAAUGAGUAUAAAAAACUUCUAGCAGAAGAUGACAAAGUAUAUCAAGAAAGGGCUCUCUUCGAAAUCACACCACUGCACUCCAGCCUGGGUAACAGAGGGAGAUUCCAUCUAAAAAAAAAAAAAAAAAAAAAAAAAAAAACAGGGAUGGGGGCAAGGGAGCUCUUUUUUUCCAGUUAGCACAAGAUUGCCAUUUCAGCUAGGGAUUCUGCUGCAACUAUCUCCCAGACCCUAUUCUAGGGCCCGGGGAUAGAAACAGAAUCAAAAACAUAUUCCUUGUCUUUUUUGGGCUUAUAUUAUUGAGGAGAGAGAAAUAAACAAUUUCAAAAUAAACAAUGUCAUACAGUGCUAAGUGCUAUAAAUAAAAUCAAACAGAAUAACGAAAGAGAAAGUAGCUAGACUGGAGGGAAAAGCUGCUUCAGAAUGAGUUGUCAAGGAAGCCUCUUUGCAAUCAGAAAGGUGAGAAGGAUUUAGUCAGGCAAAUAUCAGGAGUAAAUUAUUCUUGGAGGAAAGUAAGCCCAUGCAAAGGCCCUGGGGCAGAGUGGGCUUAUUUGAUAAAGAGGUAAAAGGGUCAGGAUAUCUGUAGCAAUAGUGGCCAAGGGAGGGAGAGGUAUGAGACAGAGGAGGUGAGCCCUGUUGCCAUGGUGAGGGCAUGAGGAUUUAUUCUAAGUUCCAGAUACCUGGAGUUAAAGUCCCCUGAACUGGACAACAACUACAAGCCUUCAUAUCUCAAUGCUACCAUCUUUAAGCCCCUGUUAUAAGAGCUCAGAGGCUUCAGAGAUGACAGGAAACACCAGAACGCUAUGGUGGAGCAUAUCUAGGUGCCUUCUCCCAACUCAGAUCCUUUGACUAUAGAAAGACACAGAUUUCAAGGCUGAGAUCCACAAAACUCUAGCAAAUACUGCACAGACACUGACCAAUGACAGCAGGUGCUGCCUGUCACCCUGGAGCACCAGGCAGGGUUCCAAAGCACCCUUGCUGUGCCAGCCUCUGAUUGCUGGUUAUAGGGAGGUCUGGGGUAGUCCCAAAAGCUGGGAUGUCUAAGGCAGCUGGGGUCAGUCAGGAGGCUCAGGGCAGUGGCAGGAAAAUAUUUUCCUCCCUGGUAGAGCCACAGCGGGGUAUCCAGGCUGAAUAUUAUUGGCGAGAAGGACCAUGGCACAGCACCAAGACCUGCAGGACAAACUUUGUUGGAGCUGAAUCCAGAAAAACAAUCUUCUUCUAAACCACUCUCCUGCCCCUCAUUUAAUUAUUGUGCUUUUGGGUGCACUUGGACUACUCUGAAACAUUCAGAACUCUGUCAAAAAAAAAAAAAAA
rnacentral:lncRNA from 1 species